CCGUAUUCGUACCAAAGAAGGUGUCUAUGAGAUUUUGCUCAAGGCACUACCAGAGACCUCUCAGGGACAUACUCAUCUCCUUUUGAGCCUUUCAGAAAUGGAGAAUUCAUGUGGCAACUUAUAGUUGUUGAUAUAUUGAAGUCUCGUUUGAAAACUAAGGUUGGAUGGGAGAGAGGAAAUAUUGUACUUGAUGCCACAGUCAAAUAUGAACAGAAUUUCAUUCGUGAGCUGGAUGGUACUCUUGAGACACCAUGGGAAGACUUGGAAAAGUCCAGCCAUACGUCUUGUGGGUAAACCCCAGGAAGGCGGUUACAGAAUAACCUGGUACUUGAGGGAGCAGGACAGACCUACAAUGGAAAUCUCUUCUGGAAAUAUCGGAGCGAAAGUGAUUGGGAAGUUGACAUCGAGGUAGAACGAGAACAAGGCAGUGGUGAAGGACGUUACACUGUCAACCUAGCCCUGACAAAUGUUCUUAACAAGCCAUUUAAGCUAGCAGCCCACCUCACCACACCUCAUGAAGGAUUCAAGGAAAUCACUUUUGAAAUGAAUAUACGACGUUUCCGAGCUCCGUAUUACUUGAAAGUUGGAUGGGGAACGGCACAGGAGUCACGUAGUGUGGACAUCGAGUUCAGGAAGCUGUCGAUCAGUGAGGUGCAGGGUGUGUUUUUGUUUAACUUCAAUGAUGACCAGGGAACUAAGAAUUACUUCACUCUUGACCUUGAUGUGAUAAACCAUUCAACAGAUGAUAAAAUUGAUGUCUCAUUGACUGCAAGAUGCCAAGAGUAAUAACGAUUAUCUUGACCAUGUGGUGAUGAAAGCAACUGUUCGACAAGUAACAGUGGAUCCAGGAGAACUUGGUUUGUACCUGCUUUGGCCUGGUGCUGAUCCAAUCUCCUUCAAGGCUAUUGCUGAAC